AACGAACGCUGGCGGCAUGCCUAACACAUGCAAGUCGAACGAGACCUUCGGGUCUAGUGGCGCACGGGUGCGUAACGCGUGGGAACCUGCCCUUAGGUUCGGAAUAACUCCCCGAAAGGGGUGCUAAUAUCGGUUAAUGUCUUCGGACCAAAGAUUUAUCGCCGUUGGAUGGGCCCGCGUUGGAUUAGCUAGUUGGUAGGGUAAAAGCCUACCAAGGCGACGAUCCAUAGCUGGUCUGAGAGGAUGAUCAGCCACACUGGGACUGAGACACGGCCCAGACUCCUGCGGGAGGCAGCAGUGGGGGAUAUUGGACAAUGGGCGGAAGGCUGAUCCAGCAAUGCCGCGUGAGUGAUGAAGGCCUUAGGGUUGUAAAGCUCUUUUACCCGGGAUGAUAAUGACAGUACCGGAAGAAUAAGCACCGGCUAACUACGUG
rnacentral:rRNA from 1 species